rnacentral:rRNA from 1 species
GUGAGGAAUAUUGGUCAAUGGGCGCAAGCCUGAACCAGCCAUGCCGCGUGCAGGAAGACGGUCCUAUGGAUUGUAAACUGCUUUUAUUUGGGAAUAAACUCCGGUACGUGUACCGGCCUGAAGGUACCAAAUGAAUAAGCACCGGCUAACUCCGUGCCAGCAGCCGCGGUAAUACGGAGGGUGCAAGCGUUAUCCGGAAUCAUUGGGUUUAAAGGGUCCGCAGGCGGUCUUAUAAGUCAGUGGUGAAAGCCUACAGCUCAACUGUAGAACUGCCAUGGAUACUGUAGGACUUGAAUUCGAUCGAAGUGGGCGGAAUGUGACAUGUAGCGGUGAAAUGCUUAGAUAUGUCACAGAACACCGAUAGCGAAGGCAGCUCACUAGGUCUGGAUUGACGCUCAGGGACGAAAGCGUGGGGAGCAAACAGGAUUAGAAACCCUGGUAGUCC